rnacentral:lncRNA from 1 species
AGAAAAUUGCUUUGAUUAUGCAAAUAAAUUUACACUCUUCCAACUUGUUAUAUUAUGACUGCAGAAUAUUUAACUAUUUGUUUCAUUAACAUUUAUUAUUUAUAUCUAUUUAUAUUUAUUUGAUGUACAUUUAUUAAACAUCAAGCUUAUGAUAUAAUGUGAGAAAAACAAACAUUUGCAUUUUAUUGACAUACAGAAAAAUUAAUGACAUGCACAUGUAGAAACAAAUGUAAGAUUUCACUAUGAUAAAUAGUAUGAAGAGGUGGUUUCUCAUUCUCUGAGAGUACAAAAUCUAUUGGGAGAACUGGCAUAAACAGGGAUAUAAAAUGAAAGUUACUGAAGAGGGAAUUGGGGAAAAGGAGUUAAUUAGUGGAAAAAAGAGAGUAAGGUUGCUCUAGGAAGUAGGAACUGUGUGUGCAAAGGUUCUGAGACAAAGAGGAGUGUAGGGGAGGAUCAUGGCAUGAAGAGAAAGAACUAAGGGGCUAGAUCAUAAAAGAUCUUCUCAGUUUUAGAUGGUAGAAAUGUGAGCUAGAUGUGUACUUGGAUCUUAGACCAUAAAAAUACAGUUGGUCUUCUUUAUUUUUGAAUUAUCUAUUUGUGAUUGAGCUAAUGUCUUGAAUUUAUUUGGUAUCCAGAGAUCAAUGCUAGAGGCUCUCCUGUGGUCAUUAUCAGACAUAUACAUGUGCAGAGUGGAAAAAAUGGUGAUGUGCACAUUCUAAGCUGAGGC